CGUAAGGCCUUAGAGCAAGGUUGCACUUACGAACCGUGUCAGGUCCGGAAGGAAGCAGCACUAAGUAUGAAGCAGCUUGUGCUCUAAGUUUUAUUGAU
rfam:Lactobacillus pontis DSM 8475 NODE_127, whole genome shotgun sequence.